rnacentral:tRNA from 1 species
AGCUGAUUGGUGUAGUGGUAUCACGUUGGACUCCAACUCCAAAAACGAGGGUUCGAUUCCUUCAUUGGCUG